UACGAGGGGCGCAAGUGUUGUUCGGAAUCACUGGGCGUAAAGGGAGCGUAGGCGGGCUUUUAAGUUAGGUGUUUAAUCCCGGGGCCCAACCCCGGACCGGCACCUAAAACUGGGAGUCUUGAAUAGUGGAGAGGUCAGUGGAAUUGGGGGUGUAGCGGUGGAAUGCGUAGAGAUCCCCAAGAACACCAGUUGCGAAGGCGGCCGACUGGACACAUAUUGACGCUGAGGCUCGAAAGCAUGGGGAGCAAACAGG
rnacentral:rRNA from 1 species